rnacentral:misc_RNA from 1 species
UAAAGAAGUUAGCAAGGCAUGAACAAGCCAAGACAUGAUAAAAUAAGAUUACAUCAACAUCUGCAACCAUUGCAGACAUAUUCCUUCUCUUCUAUGAAAACAUUCAACUUCAGCGGAGCACUGGAGUUAACGACAUCUCUUGGAACCACAAGGAAUUUUUUCAAAGGACUGCUUUCUGACCAGUUUGGCAUGCUCUCUGCAACAGAUUCUAGUUUAAAAGAGCUUUCCCCGUCUGUUACUACAAGCUUG